rnacentral:rRNA from 1 species
GCGAACGGGUGAGUAACACGUGGGUAAUCUGCCCUGCACAUCGGGAUAAGCCUGGGAAACUGGGUCUAAUACCGAAUAGGACCACAGAACACAUGUCCUGUGGUGGAAAGCUUUUGCGGUGUGGGAUGGGCCCGCGGCCUAUCAGCUUGUUGGUGGGGUGAUGGCCCACCAAGGCGACGACGGGUAGCCGGCCUGAGAGGGUGUCCGGCCACACUGGGACUGAGAUACGGCCCAGACUCCUACGGGAGGCAGCAGUGGGGAAUAUUGCACAAUGGGCGAAAGCCUGAUGCAGCGACGCCGCGUGGGGGAUGACGGCCUUCGGGUUGUAAACCUCUUUCACCAUCGACGAAGGUUCGGGUUUUCUCGGAUUGACGGUAGGUGGAGAAGAAGCACCGGCCAACUACGUGCCAGCAGCCGCGGUAAUACGUAGGGUGCGAGCGUUGUCCGGAAUUACUGGGCGUAAAGAGCUCGUAGGUGGUUUGUCGCGUUGUUCGUGAAAUCUCACGGCUUAACUGUGAGCGUGCGGGCGAUACGGGCAGACUUGAGUACUGCAGGGGAGACUGGAAUUCCUGGUGUAGCGGUGGAAUGCGCAGAUAUCAGGAGGAACACCGGUGGCGAAGGCGGGUCUCUGGGCAGUAACUGACGCUGAGGAGCGAAAGCGUGGGGAGCGAACAGGAUUAGAUACCCUGGUAGUCCACGCCGUAAACGGUGGGUACUAGGUGUGGGUUUCCUUCCUUGGGAUCCGUGCCGUAGCUAACGCAUUAAGUACCCCGCCUGGGGAGUACGGCCGCAAGGCUAAAACUCAAAGAAAUUGACGGGGGCCCGCACAAGCGGCGGAGCAUGUGGAUUAAUUCGAUGCAACGCGAAGAACCUUACCUGGGUUUGACAUGCACAGGACGCCGGCAGAGAUGUCGGUUCCCUUGUGGCCUGUGUGCAGGUGGUGCAUGGCUGUCGUCAGCUCGUGUCGUGAGAUGUUGGGUUAAGUCCCGCAACGAGCGCAACCCUUGUCUCAUGUUGCCAGCGGGUAAUGCCGGGGACUCGUGAGAGACUGCCGGGGUCAACUCGGAGGAAGGUGGGGAUGACGUCAAGUCAUCAUGCCCCUUAUGUCCAGGGCUUCACACAUGCUACAAUGGCCGGUACAAAGGGCUGCGAUGCCGCGAGGUUAAGCGAAUCCUUUUAAAGCCGGUCUCAGUUCGGAUCGGGGUCUGCAACUCGACCCCGUGAAGUCGGAGUCGCUAGUAAUCGCAGAUCAGCAACGCUGCGGUGAAUACGUUCCCGGGCCUUGUACACACCGCCCGUCACGUCAUGAAAGUCGGUAACACCCGAAGCCAGUGGCCUAACC